UAUUAUUUUGACGAUAAUUUAAUAUAUGAUUUUUUAAUACAUAUAUUCAUCAAAAUUUUGAAAUCAAAUUUGAUCUCUUGGUGAUUAAUCUAUCUCGGUUGUGUGUGUUGGAUAUGAUAGAUGGAUAUUCGCGAAUAGACUAAAAUUUGUCAAAAUUAUUUUUAAUUGUGAGAUUGUCUAAUUUAAGGAGAGUUUGAAAUUAUUUUUUUUAAAAAAGAAGAAACUCCUAUGUUUAAAAGAUGUGGAAAGAGUUACAUCUUAAAAGAAGUGUGAAACUACCACCACAUGUAGGAAAGAGCUACCACCCUAGUCGUCCAGCAAGUGUGUGAAGCUACCACAUGAAAAUUGAAUUGAAUAAUUGAAAAGGUUAAAAAAAAAAAUUAAAUAUUUUAGAAUUUUCGGAGUUAUAAGGUGUUAGUUUGAAAAAGAUGCUCAAAGAGCCACCCCUGGUAUGAUAUUAGUUAAAUCUCUAUUUUGAACAGAUUGCAAUAAAUUGGUGUCAAUUUUGCCGAAUUUCUAAAAAUCAUUUUUCGUGAACCGUUACAUCCUGAUGAUUUUGAAACUCGAGGUUAUUUUUUUAAUAAAAUUUUGAUGUUUUGAUGUAUUUUGAAAUCUUAUAAUAUU
rnacentral:lncRNA from 1 species